rnacentral:lncRNA from 10 species
AUCAAAAUGCCUUUGGGAAGCCACCCCUCCUCCACUUCUGUAAAAUCCUAUUUCUGUUCAUAUGUUUAAGCAGAGACCUCCCAGGGACUUUUGUUAGUGCUCUCAGAAAAGAUGUUCUUCCUUCCACUAGAGUUGCUAAGCAACUCCAAAGAUGGGGCCAUCUUUGCCAUCACAUGGAGAGAACACAGAGAAAAACAAAACCAAGAGAUGGAGUUUUGAUGUUAUUAUUUGAUCCCUGGUUCUAGCUACACCUCAAGCCAGUGAACCAUCCCUCUGAGAGGUGAGAUAAUAAACUGCCUUUUUAAUGCUAAGGCCUGUUUGAAUUGGGAGCAUGUCAUUGCAAA